GGGCGGUUAACUCAGUGGAUAGAGUGCCUUUCUAACGAAAAUGGUUGUCGUGAGUUCAAGUCUCACACCGCCUA
rnacentral:tRNA from 1 species